GAUGAACGCUGGCGGCGUGCCUAAUACAUGCAAGUCGAGCGAACAGACGAGGAGCUUGCUCCUCUGACGUUAGCGGCGGACGGGUGAGUAACACGUGGAUAACCUACCUAUAAGACUGGGAUAACUUCGGGAAACCGGAGCUAAUACCGGAUAACAUGUUGAACCGCAUGGUUCAACAGUGAAAGACGGUCUUGCUGUCGCUUAUAGAUGGAUCCGCGCCGCAUUAGCUAGUUGGUAAGGUAACGGCUUACCAAGGCAACGAUGCGUAGCCGACCUGAGAGGGUGAUCGGCCACACUGGAACUGAGACACGGUCCAGACUCCUACGGGAGGCAGCAGUAGGGAAUCUUCCGCAAUGGGCGAAAGCCUGACGGAGCAACGCCGCGUGAGUGAAGAAGGUCUUCGGAUCGUAAAACUCUGUUAUUAGGGAAGAACAAAUGUGUAAGUAACUAUGCACGUCUUGACGGUACCUAAUCAGAAAGCCACGGCUAACUACG
rnacentral:rRNA from 1 species